CAGCCGCCACGGUAAUACGUAGGUGGCAAGCGUUGUCCGGAAUUAUUGGGCGUAAAGGGCUCGCAGGCGGUUUCUUAAGUCUGAUGUGAAAGCCCCCGGCUCAACCGGGGAGGGUCAUUGGAAACUGGGAAACUUGAGUGCAGAAGAGGAGAGCGGAAUUCCACGUGUAGCGGUGAAAUGCGUAGAGAUGUGGAGGAACACCAGUGGCGAAGGCGACUCUCUGGUCUGUAACUGACGCUGAGGAGCGAAAGCGUGGGGAGCGAACAGGAUUAGAUACCCGCGUAGUCCCUGUCUCUUAUAC
rnacentral:rRNA from 1 species